rnacentral:rRNA from 1 species
UACGUAGGGUGCAAGCGUUAAUCGGAAUUACUGGGCGUAAAGCGUGCGCAGGCGGUUAUAUAAGACAGUUGUGAAAUCCCCGGGCUCAACCUGGGAACUGCAUCUGUGACUGUAUAGCUAGAGUACGGUAGAGGGGGAUGGAAUUCCGCGUGUAGCAGUGAAAUGCGUAGAUAUGUGGAGGAACACCGAUGGCGAAGGCAAUCCCCUGGACCUGUACUGACGCUCAUGCACGAAAGCGUGGGGAGCAAACAGG